ensembl:lncRNA
AGACGCCCCGGGCCGAGCCGACCGCCGCCGCGGAUCGAGGGAGGGAGCCCCGGCCUCCUCACCGUUCAGGAGAGCUGAGGAUGUCAGACAGGCCACAGCCCCUCCAGACGCCCUAUGGGAUAAUCCGUCCUACCUUUGCCUCAGGUAGCUGGGACCACAGGCACCUAACACUUCCAGCUUCCGCGUCCUUGGCUGCAGCCCCCAUCGCCCCCUCCCGCCCCCACAUCCACCAUCACGCGGCUUCUCCUGUGUCUCUGUCGCCGUGUGCUGCCCUUCUUAGGAUGCCAUCGCGUUGGAGCGGGACCACCCAGCCAAUUACAUCCGCAAUGACCCUAUUCCCAUGCCACAUUCUAAUAGACCAGCGGCUACGACUGGAUCCUAUCUGUUUGGGAACCACCAUUCAGCCCUGGACCUGUGUGGGGCUGAUAGCCCCCAGUGCUGGCUCCCCCAGGCCACCCUGCAACCACCCUCAUCAUAGAUGCCACGACAGUGGAGGCCAAGGGCCCUUCCUGGUGCCCCGGUGAGUGGCAUGGCCAGGACCUGACCCUCCCAUGCCUCUGUGGCAGAGCAAGGUGGGUGGGGAACUGGCUGUCCUGCUCCCAGCGGCAUUCCUGGCACCUAUGCCCCGCCCAGCCCAGAGCAGAUGUCAACACACAUCUGGGUGUCAGGCAGCCCCGUGUCACUGAGUGGGGUAAACAAGGAGGGUGAAGGAAGGUCAGAAGGCCAUGGCUGAGGGCGUAGGUGUGGGCUCUAGCUCUUGCUUCCCAGAACACAGACUGACCUUGGUGCAGACCUCACCGUGGGAGCCCCCAAAAGCUGCUUGCCUGGGGCCUCCAGGCCUCUUGCGGGUCCCUAAAAGCACAGGGAUCCAGGACAAGAGGUGCGGGGGCCCCCGCCUGGGCACCAGCCUGCAUGGGCCAGAGCAAGCCACUUCCCCUCAGGUUUGGGGAAUGCCUGAGUCAGACCUGCAGAGGCAACUUCUCCAUCUGCCUGGCUCCCAAGCCCUGUGGCAGGAGGGGAGCCAAGAAAUGAAAGGGCCCGGUGGGUGUGGACCGGGCCCUGUUUCCAUCUGGACUUGGCCAGUGCCUGUGGCACGCCCUGCUCUGUCCCUGGGGCACCCGGGCAUGUGGCUCAGCUGAAAGGGUGACCAUGGGCACCAUCUGCCUGGCUUCCAGGUCCUGAGGCCGGAGAGGAGCCAAGAAAUGAAAGGGCCUGGUGGAUGUGGGUGGGCCUCAGUGUCUGCCUGCUCCAGAGGAGGGGGUGGGCACUGACUCCUGGUUGAGGGCUGGGGGCAGGGAGGCUCCUCUGGACAGGAAGAUCCUCCAGGAACAGACCAGCAAGACGGCACUGUCCAGAUGGGACAGGAGCCGGACAGCGGCGUCAGACACGCCCCACAGCGGCCCACAACCACAGCCACUUCCCAGAGGUCAAGACCUGGAGGCUGGCCGGGCCGUGGUGGCUCACGCCUGUAAUCCCAGCACUUUGAGGGCCGAGGCAGGCGGAUCACAAAGUCAGGAGAUCGAGACCACGGUGAAACCCCGUCUCUACUAAAAAUGCAAAAAAUUAGCUGGGCGCGGUGGCGGGCGCCUGUGUUCCCAGCUAAUCCGGAGGCUGAGGCAGGAGAAUGGCGUGAACCCGAGAGGCGGAGCUUGCAGUGAGCCGAGAUGGCGCUACUGCACUCCACCUGGGCGACAGAGCGAGACUCUGUCUCAAAAAAAAAAAAAAAAAAAAA